UCCGAUAUAGUGUAACGGCUAACAUAUUUGGUUUUCAUCCAAGAGCUCGGGGUUCGAUUCCCCGUAUCGGAG